GGUUUGACGGUACCUUUAAAGGAAGCACCGGCUAACUCCGUGCCAGCAGCCGCGGUAAUACGGGGGGUGCAAGCGUUGUUCGGAAUUAUUGGGCGUAAAGCGCGUGUAGGCGGUCUGAUUAGUCUGAUGUGAAAGCCCUGGGCUCAACCCAGGAAGUGCAUUGGAUACUGUCAGACUUGAAUACGGGAGGGGGUAGUGGAAUUCCUAGUGUAGGAGUGAAAUCCGUAGAUAUUAGGAGGAACACCGGUGGCGAAGGCGGCUACCUGGACCGAUAUUGACGCUGAGACGCGAAAGCGUGGGUAGCAAACGGGAUUAGAUACCCUGGUAGUCCACGCCGUGAACGAUGAGAACUAGGUGUCGCGGGUA
rnacentral:rRNA from 1 species